CCUACGGGAGGCAGCAGUAGGGAAUCUUCCACAAUGGGCGAAAGCCUGAUGGAGCAACGCCGCGUGGGUGAAGAAGGUCUUCGGAUCGUAAAACCCUGUUGUUAGAGAAGAAAGUGCGUGAGAGUAACUGUUCACGUUUCGACGGUAUCUAACCAGAAAGCCACGGCUAACUACGUGCCAGCAGCCGCGGUAAAACGUAGGUGGCAAGCGUUAUCCGGAUUUAUUGGGCGUAAAGGGAACGCAGGCGGUCUUUUAAGUCUGAUGGGAAAGCCUUCGGCUUAACCGGAGUAGUGCAUUGGAAACUGGGAGACUUGAGUGCAGAAGAGGAGAGUGGAACUCCAUGUGUAGCGGAGAAAUGCGUAGAUAUAUGGAAGAACACCAGUGGCGAAAGCGGCUCUCUGGUCUGUAACUGACGCUGAGGUUCGAAAGCGUGGGUAGCAAACAGGAUUAGAUACCCGGGUAGUC
rnacentral:rRNA from 1 species